UUACGGUCAAAUCACACUGAAACACCGGUUCUCGUACGAUCACCGAAGUUAAGCAGCGUAGAGCCAGGUCAGUACUUAGAUGGGGGACCGCUUGGGAACACCUGGUACUGUAAG
rnacentral:rRNA from 1 species